AUCAACUUUCGAUUGGUAGGAUAGAGGCCUACCAUGGUGGUAACGGGUAACGGGGUGUUAGGGCACGACACCGGAGAGGGAGCCUGAGAAACGGCUACCACAUCCAAGGAUGGCAGCAGGCGCGCAAAUUACCCAAUCCCGACACGGGGAGGUAGUGACAAUAAAUAACAAUACGGGGUUCUUUCGGAUCUCGUAAUUGGAAUGAGUACAAUUUAAAUCUCUUAACGAGGAACAAUUGGAGGGCAAGUCUGGUGCCAGCAGCCGCGGUAAUUCCAGCUCCAAUAGCGUAUAUUAAAGUUGUUGCAGUUAAAAAGCUCGUAGUUGAAUUUCGGGGUUAGUAGGUUGGUCAUGCCUCUGGUAUGUACUGGUCUCACUGAUUCCUCCUUCCUUAUGAACCGUAAUGCCAUUAAUUUGGUGUUGCGGGGAAUUUGGACUGUUACUUUGAAAAAAUUAGAGUGUUUAAAGCAGGCUAACGCUUGAAUACAUUAGCAUGGAAUAAUGAAAUAGGACGUUCGAUCUUAUUUUGUUGGUUUCUAGGAUUGACGUAAUGAUUAAUAGGGAUAGUUGGGGGCAUUAGUAUUCAAUUGUCAGAGGUGAAAUUCUUGGAUUUAUUGAAGACUAACUACUGCGAAAGCAUCUGCCAAGGAUGUUUUCAUUAAUCAAGGACGAAAGUUAGGGGAUCGAAGACGAUCAGAUACCGUCGUAGUCUUAACCAUAAACUAUGCCGACUAGGGAUCGGAUGAUGUUAAUUUUUAAUGACUCAUUCGGCGCCUUACGGGAAACCAAAGUGUUUGGGUUC
rnacentral:rRNA from 1 species